AACGAACGCUGGCGGCAUGCCUAACACAUGCAAGUCGAACGAAGGCUUCGGCCUUAGUGGCGCACGGGUGCGUAACGCGUGGGAAUCUGCCCUUUGGUUCGGAAUAACAGCUGGAAACGGCUGCUAAUACCGGAUGAUGACGAAAGUCCAAAGAUUUAUCGCCAGAGGAUGAGCCCGUGUUGGAUUAGGUAGUUGGUGGGGUAAAGGCCUACCAAGCCGACGAUCCAUAGCUGGUCUGAGAGGAUGAUCAGCCACACUGGGACUGAGACACGGCCCAGACUCCUACGGGAGGCAGCAGUGGGGAAUAUUGGACAAUGGGCGCAAGCCUGAUCCAGCAAUGCCGCGUGAGUGAUGAAGGCCCUAGGGUUGUAAAGCUCUUUUACCCGGGAAGAUAAUGACUGUACCGGGAGAAUAAGCCCCGGCUAACUCCGUG
rnacentral:rRNA from 1 species